CAUAUAUUUGUAUAGUCAAGUACAUACGCAUAUUUAUUAUAAUUAUAUAUAAUUACAUAGACAUAUAUUUAUUGUACUAAUGUGUAACGUAAUAAAAAAAAAAAAGCUACGGAAUCCACUAAGCUGUGCGAGUAGGUUAACGAAACCUAAGUCCAAUUACCUACUCGUUUGUAGGAGAAAGCCUAACUUUUUUCCUUUAUGCACAUCGGCGUGUGACUGACGUAAUUAUGAGUCAGUAAAUUCGAGCGUAACGUCGACGAAAAUGAAACUUUCGCACGGCCAUUGACAGGACGUGGGUCUGCACGUAGCAACGUAUGCGAGAGGAGUUUUGAUAAAGCUGUACAAAGACAGAGAACAGGAUACUGCGGUGCGAUGCAUAAUGUAAGCAAUUACAUUGUGUAUGCGAACAAUCGAGGAAUCUAUAGAUCUCAUUUACGUUCGUCGAUCCAAAAACGAUCAAACCACAUCCACCAUGAUUCGUGUUACAAGUAAAGCCACAACGAUUCUACGGCACGAAACAAAACGAAAAUCAAGAAAUAAGAAAAUUGCACAGAGGGCUUCAUUUCGUAGGAAAUCGAGUUUGAAAAUCUCGUCGAGUACAAUAUCCUGGAACGAACGUAAUUAGAACUUUCUUUUCACAGAUGUGAACAUUUCUAUGCGGUUUUAUAGUCACCAGACGCACUGUAGAAUCUUCGUUGCAGUUUGAUUGUUUUUCAAUCUACGAAUAUAAAUCAGAUCUAUAGAUCCUUCGUUUGCAUAUCGCGCAAGUUUGUUAUUCCUGCCUUUCUUUUUAUUCUCCGACUUCCACGAAUUACUUUAUCGUAUAUACCAGCGCCGAAUGCAUAUUUUGUCUCGCUUCUCUGGUCUCUUUAAAAAACAUUCCUAAUCGCAUGUUUCUUUUUUACGUUUCCCGUGUCGACAGUACAGCUGGUAGGCCACAUAUUUCGGCGCGGCACGUGCCAAAAAUAGACAUCGGUAUCCCUUGUGUCGAAUACGACGUAGGGGGUGCAACGACAUUUAAAACGUUCUGCAUCAACCGGAGAAAACACCCUCAGUUAGUUGCAAACAGCUCGUCGACGCGGCUCGUGUUCUUUCCCGGCUUGUUACAAUAGUUGGCUGUUAAGUACGCGCACAGUACAUCUGUCGAUCAAACGACAAUCUCAGUUUCGAGCGUGUAACGGAUCAUCGAGUUGAUUUAUCCUCUUCGUUGUAAUGAUGCCAAUUAAUCGCCAUUUAACCAAUUAGGGUGAUUGAACGAAGAGUCUGGGUGAACACGAGACGGUUUAACGAACCGAUAAAUCGCGGCCUCCUACGUGCAUUUUGCAACAACUACGACCCAGGCAGGUGGAAACAAAGAUCGUGAAACCAGCGUUAAUCGGUAGAUAGAUCGGCAACGAGACGAUAUUAUGGGUAGAAACGGGACGGGUCCGGUGAUCCGGAUGUCUUCUACGGGCACGCACGCUGCUGGGGGCGUAGAAUGUUGUUAUUGCAGAUGUUGCACGUGUAUACACGUGGAAUUUCUAAAAACUCUACCCGGUCUUCUAAAACUGUGCGAGACGAUUAUCAGCGGACUGAUACAAAGCUUGUUAAUUAAUUACGGUUUAAAAUACAGUACAACGAUCGGUUCAGCUUUCGAAGGAUCUUUAACUACGUCUUCCGCCUGUUUCUUAACAUCAGCGGUAUUACUCGCCUGCUACAUCGUGUCCGAAAAAUCCUACAGACUGAUUCGAUCAUCUCUAUUUGAAUUGAUGUUCAAUGCAUUAGCAUCCUUCCUGUAUUUAAGCUCGGCUUCCUAUUUGGCAUUUUCCACGAAGCUAUUUCUCCUUCCAGAAUAUUACAUAAGGCCAGGGUUCGAUGUUUAUCCUGCAAUGUCAGCUGCUUACAUUAUGAGUGGUUUUGUCGGAAUACUGCACGGAACGGAUGCAUAUUUCUCUUACAAGCAUUAUAAGAGCGGAAGAUGAAUCGGAAGGGGAGUGAAAUGUAUAAAAACAUCGCACGAUUCCUGACCGAACCAAGAUCCAAAUACAGCGUACAAUGUACAAGUUACAGAAACUAUAUCUACGUCAACGAUCAAUCGAGAAAGACCUUUAUUUAAGUACUUAUGUUAAAUUAAUACGCAUAGCAUUCCAAAAUUAUGUAACGAACGAAAGUAUCAUAAAAAUAUAGAAAACGAACGUCGUAUUUAUUUAAAUCCUCCUCAUUUUUAAUCCUUUGUAAAUAACGUCAAAGAUAAAGACUAUCAAUUUCAAUAAUGCGACAUAAUUCCUCAAGAAUGAGUCAAAUUACAGGAAUUUCUCAAGCUUUUUUUCCGUGCAUACGUCACUUUUUUUCAUCCACGUGCAUUGCUAUAGAAAGUCUAGAAUUUGGUCAAAAUUUUCAAAUUCCAAUUUCGAUUUUUACUAACUCUUCGCGAUAAAAGCUUGGAAAACGCUAGCUGCGUGGAUAUUCUUUUUCGCGUUACCUGAACACAAAAGAACAACCAAAUAUUAAUGUCUGAAUAUUUCUAUGAUGUUUUGUGCACUCCUUUGCGCUACAUAGGAAAGUUCACAUCAGAUGUUGAAUAUUUGAUGCGGUGUAUGCGAGUUGUAUAGAAAAUGUACAUACAAAUUGUGGAAUCUGAUAUGCUUAAUUUACAACUUUUUGGUUAUUAGAUACCGAAAUGGAUUAUCGGUUUGCGAGAUACAUAGAAUGACAUAAAAUGUGAGAUGUGAUGGAAUGUGCGGAUGUGGGAUGUGGGACACGAGGAUUUAUUCUAUAUCUUCCAUUCAUUUUUCACACGAAGAAUCGUCUCUCUUUCGGCUGUAUUACGAUUUUGGGAACAGCCUGUAUAAACGUGGAAAACUGUCCAGGGCGCACAUAAUACACAAAAAUAUAUAAAAUCCGGAAAGCAAACUUUUUAUUAUAAUAUUUAGAGGACGAGACGAAUCUCUGCGUAAUUUUCAUUUCUUAAGUUAAAUUCAUGAAAAUGUGAAUUUGUAUAAAAAUUCGUUAUCUACUUGUUAAAGUAGUACGUCAAGUACAUGUCAUACCCAAGUCA